rnacentral:lncRNA from 1 species
CUUGUCAAAGUUGCAUCUUGCCUUGAUCUGUGGUCCUGUUACAUUGCACCUGUAUCUGAGUCCUCCUUCCUCUGCUGGCUGAAAUCCCUAUUGACAAGAUUAAUAUCCAGGUAUAAGAGUAAUGUCAGUAAGUUUGAAGCUGAAUACAGACACCUGGAUCAUCUCCUUUAUAUGAUCCAACACACGUGUUAGAGGAGGGGCCAAGCACUGGUAAAAAAAAGAAAAGAAACAGGGUUCCCCCGAAAACAAAAGUGUGUGUCAGGGGACGUGUUUGGACCCAAAUGCAGCAGCACACAGGAAACCAGGAACAGUUGAUAAUGACGUUUAAUGUCAGAGCUACAGGUACAGGGCAGGACAGAUAUUAAGCACAGGGUAAAUACAGAAGUUGAAGCAGACGACCCAGCAGGGAACAGGCAGAAGGUACGCUUCUAUACUGGCUUGAUUGGAGAGGAGAUGCAGCUGGAGCCCAGGGAUUUUCCAAACAACACAUCAGGGAUAUCCCCAGCCUGUUGCCGUCUAGUCACCGACGCUGAAAAGCGGAUGAAACUGAGCAGUAGUCUGGUGCCUGGCUGUGAUGCAAUGUGUCCUUGCCCUCUCCUUUAACCUCGGAGGGAUUGUUUCGUUCUCUGCGCCUCCCUGUGCAGCUUCACUGAUGAUAUUAAGCUGCAAUGAGACUUUUUCAUUUGUCAGCAUUCCCACCGUUUGCCUGUGGCCAUCAGAUGUCUGUCUUUAAAGCUUUGGAACUGAUAAGGCACGACAGGAUGAGGUUAAUCUACCGAAUUAGUUAAUGUGAUCGCUCACCAAGACUUUAUAGUUGCUUGUUUACAUACAAAGCCCUGGAUUGAAACGUACAAUGUUUCUCAUUUGUUUCGCUUUCUACAUUAACUGCUCAAUUUUUAAGACCUUAUUCUUAUUGAGCACUGAAACGAUAAAUCAUUUAUCAUAAACAAUAUCUAUCUAUAUAAGCAUGUUAGAUCAUGUAUCGACGCAAAAUAACAUCUUCGGGUUCAAGCUUCUCAUGUGUGAAGAUUUGCUGCUUUUAUAUGUAGUCUAUCAUUAGAUAAUGAAUAAUUUUGUAGACCAAAUGAUUAUUCAGUAAAUUAAAAGUCACAGCCGGAUUAAUCCACAAUGAAAAUAAUCGAUUGUUGCUUUUUAUUUUAAUUGAAAUAUUUUAAUCACUUUGUAACUUUAUUUUGAAAAGUGCUGUAUAGAUAAAAUGUAUUGUUAUUUGUUCUGCCAUUUAUUUCCUGGAGCAUGCUUCAUACAUCUAACCAUGUGCAGAAGAGUUUCAGGAUCAAGGUGGGUUACAAGAGUUGGCGUGCCGUCCCUUACCUGGCAGUCCUGUUUUAGCAUCCCGGUGGGAACAGAUCUGCACCAGCGUGGGCUUGAUUAUUCUCCGACAGCCCUGCU